UCACUGGUGGUUCAGUGGUUAGGACACUGCUCUUCAAACGCGGGGAAAGAGGGUUUGAUCCCUGCUCAGGGAA
rnacentral:tRNA from 1 species